ensembl:lncRNA
AUGGAGCGAGCGCGCGCCGGACUCACACCUGGUGUUAUCCUGAUCCUCUCCUUUAUUUCGCUCCUGUCGUGGAGCUGCAUAGCCGCUAAUGGAGAAGGUGGUGGUGAGGGCAGCAUUAAUGUUUCACCUCAAUGCGAUAGAAAGAAUUGCACCAGUGUUCAGGGUUUUCCCUGUAAGAAUGGCACCAUCACAUUUGCACUGAAUCAGUGCAUUACGGAGGAACACGAAGACUGCGAGGUUGGAAUUUAUGAUAAGGACUGUGAUAAACUUCUUGAUAAGACUGAUCUUUCAAGACUGUUGAAACAUCAGAAUGUGACCCUCAACUUCUGUCCUUCUGAAUUUUGCCUGAAGUUGCAGUGCACCGACAAAAAGAACGACCUGGUGUUCUGUUUCAGAGGGAUCAAUGACACCAGUCCUGACUCCCAAUCACAGAUGAGCAAUGGUGCAUAUGAACUUUGGCUGAUUCCUCUGGCUGUAGGAGUGGUCUUCCUCGGGAUCGUUGUGUGUUUCGUUGUGUGGCUUGUGAAGAAGUUUAGGUCCCAGAAAGGCAAAAAGCAAAGUGUAGCGUUCUCUGAAGUGAACCAAGAAGAUGAGCAAGUUUGA